rnacentral:lncRNA from 1 species
CAGGUGAGGAAACGGCUGAGACUCAGAGAGAAGCGCCUUGCCCAAAGCUACACAGCUGAAUAGUGGUGGAGCGGGAGAAGAACCCACACCCCUGAACCCAAAUCCAGUGCUCUUUUCAUUCACACGCUCUUUGUCACCUCUUCUGACGUCAAACCUUCUUUCCACAGAAAUGAAACAUCUCUUCCGUCCAAGCAAAGGAAAAGCAGGCAGCAAAAGUUAUGGAGUAUGGCCUGAGAGCGCUCUUCCAAGCCGGCAAAUCCAGGUUGUUUGAGCCAUUGGAAAUCGCUCUCCCAUCAAACUUGAAGCCUGAGGGGAACUGAGACCACUCCCCCGUUAAAGAGUGCAUUCCAGCUAGUGACCAGAUGGCUCCGUUGUUCAAUCAAACUUUUACCUUGAGAAUCUAUGAUCAAGUUCUUGCUUGGGUAGAAACUCCAUGGUGGCAGGGAUCUUGUCUUUCUUGUCGUUACUUUACCUCCAAAGUGUAGCACAUAGUAGGCUCUCCAUAAAUGUUCAUUGAGAGAAUGAAGGAAGGAAAGAUGGAAGGACGGGGGGGCGGCACCUCCCUGUCCAAAGGCAAUUGCACAGUUCUAUGGUAUUGCCCUUCAGCCACCUGUAUGGGAUUUUGACAAGUUCAACAUGAACAGCUUGCCUGCUAAGCUGGGUGCCUGGUGGGGAGGGCCCCUGGAUUCCUACCAUAAACACGCGAUUCCUCUGUGCCCCUUCGUUGAAGCCUCCUAGAGAAAAAUCAGAAAGGUCGGGCCCAAAGGGUUUACAUGCUUCCCUCCCAGUGUCCAAAACAACCACCCCCAGGAAGGGCUGGAGGCAGGAAACCCUGGCUGUUGAAGAGUUGAAUUACACGGGCCUUUUUCUUCAGUGUGUGAACCUAUGUUGAGGACUAAAUAAAAUGUGGCACUAGAAGAAAAAAUUCUGAACAUGACACAUUUUAUAGAUUUGAAGAAUUAUCAAACAGGAAGAGAGAGAAAACUUAAUUUGGCCAGCUGAGUCAAAGUAAAAUGA